GGGAAGGGGACAGCUGCCCCACAUUGGGUGCCAUAAAUCUGUUACCAACCAGGGUUCUUGGCCUCCUUAAUCAAUAGAUAUUGAUAAGAGGCUAGACAGGAAAUUCAGGCAAGGCCUUUCCCUUCCCAGGGAAGGGGGCGUGGGCAUGGGCAUGAGCUGGUUCCUUAUAUGGGGUGAGGGUAGGGGUGUGUCCAAGGACCAGCCUGGAGGGGUGGCUUAGGUGGUGUGCCCAGCCCUUUGGUGGUGCUGUGUGGAGGGGGCAUGCAUAGUACCUGCUUUUGCUCCCAGCUCUUCAGAAAUGAGAGUUGGGUUCUUCUGGCCUCUUUGUAUCCCGUUGCGCAUAACUUGCCCCAUCUGUGCAUGCAUGCAGUUGUUUUUAGUCCCUUGUAGUUUCUUUGUGUUCUGUUGCUCGAAGAGACAUUUGCCCAGGUGCAAGCACUGCAGCAAAGGGUCCCAGGUCCCAGCCUGUCUCAUGUUCAGUAUUUUUGUCCAGAUUUUCUAAUCGUCCUCAGUGUCAGGAGUGAUCAGGAUGACCUAGUCUGCCAUCACUGGAAUUGAAACCCCUCUGUUUCAUUUUUAACUAAAGACAUACUUGUUAAUCAGACCUAGUGAACACCCAUGGUAGCACAGUGCGUUAAUAUACAUCCAUUCUAUAGCCCCCAGAUCCCUACUGCUCCCUUUAUGGCAUGAGAAGCCCAGACUGCGUAUCUUGGUGUUGCAGCGUGCUGGAUUCUGGGUGUUUAGGGGUCAGCUAAGGUCUUACUCCCUGCCCUCAUGAAGCCUGCAGUCUGCCCUUUCCUUCCUAAAGUCUCCAACCUUUGUGAGCCAAUAUUCCCAUUUGAUUUUGUCUCUGUUCUCCUCGGCCCAUGCUACACUCAUGAUUUCAACUGUCCUUCCUCUGAGUAAACUCUUUCCCAGCCUUCGUACUGCUCGCGGGGCAGUAAAGGUCAGCCUGAGCCUGGAAUGCCGGUCUGGCCCUGUCCUUUUCUCAGCCUCAUGGCCCAUAAACCAUUCACUCUCAACUAUAGCCCAGUCUCUGAAUGCAUGUGUUUUGGCACAUACGAGUUUGUCCUCCUAGACUCGGCAUCACCUCCACUGGGAAGCCUUCCCUGAUUCUCCCAGGCUACAUCAGCCUGAACUAACACUCUGCUUCACCAGGUCUGUUUCCCCAGGAGGACAAGCAUUUUGAAGCCAGUGUCAAUGUCUUAUUCAUUUCAGCGUCUCUAACACUUGGCGUUUAAGAGGUGUCAAUUAAUGUGGAAGGAUCUCAUGGGAAAUCUCAUGGGAACUUGGGAAAAGUGCCACGCAUCCCCUAAUGCACUGUCUUUUCCACCAGUCGAAUGAACCUUUUUCCCUGGGAACCUCAGUCAAUUUCUACUCCUUAAUGGGAGGCAUGCCAGCUGCUUAUCCGCCUGCAUCCCCUCAGACACAUCGAGUUCACAGACCUUUGGGACACUGUGACAGUGGACUGCCACCUGCUGGUGAGAAGGUUUCUUGGACAGUGACAGGAAAGUUUCUAGGCCAGUGACAACUCAGGGCUACAGACAGAGGAGGGGUUCUUAAGGCAUUCCACAAACAAUAUAAACCCCUUCUCAGAAUAGUAUUUUCAAAUGCACAGUAUAAAGCACAUAGAUUACAAGUGAAACCAGUCAUAAUGAAAUAGAGGUAUCAAAAUAUUAGAAAAUAUAUAUACUAUGUGUGAUAUAUGUCAUAUGUAUUAUAUUUGUAUCUCAUUAAAUAACAAGAUCUAGUAGUAGGUCCAAUAACUACUAUAAUUAAAUGAUGAACGAAAAUGAUAAUUGAAGAUGUCUGCAACAGCUGUAACGUGAGAUGCAGUCUCUGUGAUUUCUACUGCUGACAUAGUCACAGGUACUGCUAAUAAUAUUAGAGUUUGUUGCCUAUACCCAUAAGGAAAGGAAAUGCUGUGUUUCAGUUAGAGGUUAGUGAAACUAAAGACCAAAUAUUUCCCAUCCAGGUACAAAGAUACCCUGAAUUCUACCCAUGGAUCCCUUGUGUGUGUUUGAGGGGGUGUCCAUGGACUCCAGGUUAAGAACCCCUGAAUGAGGUUUUAGAGGCAUGGCUGACUUUUUUGGGGGCUGCAUUGGGUCUUUGCUGUGCGCAGGCUUUCUCCAGUUGCGGUGAGCAGGGGCUGCUCUUCGUUGCGGUGCGCGGGAUUCUCAUUGCGGUGGCUACUCUUGUUGCGGAGCACAGGCCCUAGGCAUGCGGGCUUCAGUUGUUGUGGCACGUGGGCUCAGCAGUUGUGGCUCGUGGGCUCUAGAGCGCAGGCUCAGUAGUUGUGGCUCGUGGUCUAGAGUGCAGGCUCAGAAGUUGUGGCACACGGGCUUAGUUGCUCCGCGGCAUGUGGGAUCUUCCCGGACCAGGGCUCGAACCCGUGUCCCCUGCACUGGCAGGCGGAUUCUUAACCACUGUGCCACUAGGGAAGCCCAUGGCUGACACUUUUGAACAUGGCAGAGAUGCUGGUGGUUAAGUGUGUGUGACUCUUGCUAAAUGUCAUGGGUGCACUUGGCAGGAGAGGAGCUGUGGAGGAGACAGUGAAGUUCAAACUUUGAAGCCAUAGGCACUUUAUCAGCACUUACCAGUGCUCUGAGCUUUCGCCUGACUCUCCCCUUACCCAGCAUGUUUCCUUGUCUAUAAAACGAGAAUGACAAUGUCUUCCUCGUGGGUUGUUGAAAGGAUUCAAUAAGUUAACAUGUAAAAACUCCUGGGGUCAAAUGUUCACUGUUAAAUGAGAAUGAUAUAAAUGUCUGUAGAGAAAACACACACACAGCCAAGCGUAACUUCUUUCAGAACAGAAACCCCAAUGUCUGACCUGCUGUACAACCUGGGAGGCACCAGUGUACUCAGAAGAUAGGAAACCCUUUCUUGUUUAAGUCUGCCCUGCUCUUCCCACCCGAAUCCAAGAGAACAAAACCAAAUGCAAAGAGUUUCCAACCUUGUUAUUUUAUUAGAAGCAUAUUUACAUUCUCGCAGUUAACUCUGAAGAGAACAUUUUACAAAAGUUUUUUAUAUAAAGUUUGGAAACUACAUAAAAAUAACUUCUAUUCUUCAUAAAGAGGAAAAUAUAAGUUAGUUCUAUUUACUCUGCUAAAAAUUGACUGUAAAUGUGAAACAGUUCCGUCUGUCCCUUCCAGAGAAAACAUUAGCACAGAACACAAAGAAUACUGCAUGGGCCUUCUCAAUGCUGGGCAUUGCACGCUGGCUCAACUGUGAGACUGGGAGACCCAACCAGACCCCAUCCGGGAAGGACAGGGGAGGUGUUAAGGCUAAGGCAGCACUGAGCAGGAAGCAGCAGCUCCUUGAAUGAGAUUCCAAUGUGAACGACAAACCAAAGAAGGAAAUGAUCAAAGACUUUCACCUACACCAUGAAACCAGCAUUUCACCUAAUACUCAUUCUCACACCCCAGGCUACAAAAGGCAGUAUUGUAACUAAAGCACAAGUCAGCCCUGCCACUGGCCAUCACCUGACCAUUCGCCAAUGCUGGCCUCGUCUGGUGGAACUGGGUCUGUGUUCUGUAGUUACACAGUUAGUUCACGUUUUCCCAGCACCUGUGCACCAAAGAGAAUCAAAGGGCAUAAUUGUUUCACUUGUCUCAUUUGUGUGAGACCUGAAAAUUGUCCCUUCUGGGUCAAAUAGUGAAGCAGGCAAGCUGAGUGCUCACUAACCGAAGAGGACCAGUGCCUUCCCACGGCCCCCAGUGCUUCUUUACUGCAUAUGUAAGUCUUUGGAACCCCAAGUCCCUUUUCCUAUUGAAUGGUUACCCUACUUUCCCAAGAUCCAUUUACAACCAGUCCCCAGAAAACUCCAGGGAAUUGCUUCAGAAAGACAAAGCACUGAACCCUUACCUAUAGGAGUGAAGAAAGAGGAAGUCCUCCCAGGGUGUGUCAACCACCCCAUCACCACCAAAAUAGUACCCAGACUCAGUACACCCAUUUGAUUCCUCAGAAUCACCUUCAGUUUUCCGCUUUUUUUAAAGCAGGCAUUUUCCUAAGGAAGCCAUUUAUUUAUAUUUUUUUCAAGUUAGACAUAAAGGUGAAAAAAAGUUUUCUUUGUAAAUAAACCGAACGCUGGGUUGAGCAUUUGCUUUUAUUGGGUUAUCUACGCUCUGCAGCCUGUGGGGCUCAGAAUCUGUGGGAGGCCAGCUGAGUCAUCCAAAGGCCCAGCAUUCCAUCUGAGAUACAGAAGCUUGGCUUUUGCCAGGUUCCUGGGGGCGGGAAGCACUGCAUUUCUCCCUGAUGCUUUUUCUCCCUGAACAGAAGUUCCAUUGACUGCCAGCCUCUGCCUGAAGUGUGAGGCUGGACUCUGAACUAGGAGGGACACAGAGCAGAGGGAAGCAGCCUUCCCGUAUCACCUGCAGACGGGGUGGGCAAGUGUGAGACAGAAUGACUGGGGUGGGAAAGUCUUGUGCGGCGAGGAAUUUAUCCCUGAACAUAGGAUCCCGUGCAGGCUGAUGGUUCAGCCUGUGCCUCUGGUGCCAACCCCCAGCACGCCCACACCAACGGCUCCCCUCACGUGUUCAGUGGCACAGGCCCAGGCAGCGAACAUGUUCCAAUCCACCUGGCACAAGAGGCCCAGGGGGCCAAGGGUGUGUGUGUGCGCGCACGUGCGUGCAUGCAUGUAUGUGCAGGAAGGGAGAGUACAAGAUGGCACGAAACACUUGAGAUCAGGGUGAAGCGUUCAGCCUCUCCCCAUCCCACCACUGCAGAUGCUGUCUCAAGAAGAAAGCAGAUUGGGGGAACUGGAGGAAGGAGGGCACCCCCUGAGCAGCUGGCUGCAGACGAGGCUCCACUGGGAACCAGAAUGGCUGUUAGAAGGCAUGGUUCUUGGUCUGACACUGCAGGGAAUGGCUGAAAAGCCACCGGCAAUUACAAUAGGACACGCCCACGGUGACUUCAGCAGUAGCACUUUGUGCCCACAGACAGCAAAGCUGGUGUUUUGGCAAACAGGAGGGGCCUCGAGGCCACAGAACACCUAUUCCUCCUGGUCCCUGGCCCCCCCAAAAGCCCAAGUCGCUGACAGCUCAAAGGAACCUGGGGCUCAAAUGGAAUGCACGUUAGUAUCAGGCAGCACAUCAUAAAACCUCGCCCUCCACGACCAGCGAGAAGUCAGAAACGCCGGGUGGGUCUGUCAGGCACAGCUGGGGUGGCACAAGGCAAGGGGCUGGAUUCGAGCCGGCAUGGAAGCAAGAGGGAAGGGGCUCCUGAGUUACUUGUUCACAGAGAAUGGGAGGGCCCCGAGGCCCACCGGCCUGCCAGCCACAGCCCUGGGUGGCCGUUACGAAGCAUCCGCAGAGCUGUAGGGGAAGAACUUGGUGGCCUUGUUUGGGGUGGUGGGGCUCAGGCACUCUGCCUCCUCGUUCAUUUUGAAGAACAUCUCCUGCUCUCGUUUCUUCUGGUUCAGCUCUUCUUCCAGAGCCUAGGACAGAGGGCAGACGGAGCUCGUUUGGAUCCCUUAGGACACAAGUCUUCCCCAACCACAGGACCCCCACCAAAGUGGCCUUCUCUGGAACUUCCCCUCCCAGGCCUCAGUGCUCGGGUAACUUGGUCUUCCCUCUCUCCUGUCCCAGCGCCCAUCACCCAGAAGGAUGCAGAUCACCACCUCCGGGCCAGUGUUCCAGCAGCAACCCAGGUGACUAAGGAUGGGAUGAUUCUACAAAGAAUUCUGGAAAGAGGCAGCCCGCACCAGCAAAAUCCAACGGCUCUCCAGAUACACCCUGCGGCACCUCCCCUAAGCCCAGGCACCCCCAAGAAGCAAUCUGGGCAGUUGCUAGAGGCAAGAUGAUGAUUCAUUUUCAGCCUCUCAGGAUGUGCCAAGGGUAUAGAAGCCCUAGGUAAGAGAACCAGGUGAGCAUCUAUUUCCUGAUGCCAAAUCCGCCUGUGUCAGCAGGAGUGUAAUUGAUUUGAGUGUCAAGUAUCAAAAGUCCUAGCGGACCAUGCGUGGUUACAGAUAAGCGUGGGCCUAUUAACAGGAAGGUCUGGGACCCUGGCCAGCUUCCAGCUAGAAAGCUCCAUUAGCACAGGGAGGGAAGCCUCUAUUCAAGGACUCCCAAGGCCGUUAUAUGGCUGAGGUGGGCAACUGCCUCCUGGGCAGAUCACAGUUACAGCAAGUAGAGCUCAAGUACGACGGCAGAACAAACCUCAGGGCUCAGGACACAUGAUCAAGGGUAAUUAGGGCAGCUCUCUCCUCAGAGUUUAGGAGAGUGGGAGGACAUGAGUACGUCCUUGGCCUAUACUGUGGGCUGGUGGCUUUCUGCAUAACACUAUACAAUAUUCAUUAUCUUCACUUUACAAAUGACCACACUGAGGCCCUGUGAUGGUCAAUUUAUUUGUCAACCUGGCAAAGCCAUGGUAACCAGUUGUUUGGUCAAACACUAGUCUAGAUGUCACUGUGAAGGAAUUUUUUUAUAUGUGAUUAACAUGUAACUCAGUAGACUGAAUAAAGCAGCUUACCCUCCAAAAUGUGGUUGGGCCUCACUCAAUCAGUUGCAGGCCUUAAGAGAAAAGACUGAGGUCCCGCUAAAGAAAGAGGGAUUGGGCCUCCAUACUGCCCUGGGGCUCAGCGCUGCAACAUCAACUCUUCCCUGGCUCUCCAGCCUGCAGUCUGCCCUGCAGAUUUCAGGCUUAACAGUCCCAACAACUGGGUGAGCCAGUUCCUUCAAAUAAAUCCAUAAAUCUGUACCUUAUCCAUAUCUGUAUCUAUAUCCAUACCCCAGGCAGAACCGAUGGCACAACACGAAGCAGAGCCCACCACUGAGCCCACCAGCCCAGCCAGGGUUACCUUUUUGCGUGGCCGAAGCUUGUCCCGCCAUUCCUUUAGGUUCUGGUUAUGGCUUUCGUCCAGGGCCUUCAGCUUCUGGGUUUCAUGCUCUACCAGGAGGUGACACUUUUCAUUCUGCAACAUAUUCCAGGAAGUACAGGUAAGAAGCACAGAGGGCUGAGAUAUACCAUGAAGGUACCAGCAUCAUUCAUUUAUUACUUCUCCUUGAUUAUAAACUCCAUGUAUACAAAACGCUCUACCUGUAAAGACACAUGCACCAAAAGGUGCCUGGAAGACUAUUCCAGAAUAUUAACAUUAAUAAUUCUCACUGAGUAGUGGAAUCUGCAGCAAUUUUGCAACUUUCUACUUCGGGCUUUCUGCAUUGUUUGAAUUUUUCAACAUGAACGUAUAAAACUAAUAACAAUAAUCUCUGCCCUAAUCCCACCACACAGAGGCAACCACCACAGAAUUUUAGAUAUAUUUCCUGUCAGGCUCUGUCCUGUGCAUUCUUUAGCUCACCCUGUAUACACAAUUCUGAAACCUGCCUCCCUCUCCUCUUAACAUUAUAAUGUAAACAUUUCUACAUGUAUACAAAGAACUAACAUCUUUUACAAUCAUCAUUUUAAUUCCUACAAAAUAUCCCACAGUAUGGUUUAUCUAAUUUAUUUAAACAUUUCCCUAUUUUUGGCCACUUAGGUUGCUCUUAAUCUUCACUACUAUAAAUAGCAUUGUAUUAAACAUCUGUGCUAUGUACUGAAUUGUGUCUCCCCAAAAUUCAUAUGUUGAAGCCCUAAUGCCCAAUGUGAUGGUAUUUGGAGAUAUGGGGCCUUUAGGAGAUAAAUAGGUUUAGAUGAGGUCAAGAGGGUAGGGCCCUCAUGGCGGGAUUAGUGCCCUUAUAAGAAGAGACCAGAGAGCUCACAUGCUAGACUGCUCCCUCCCUGUCUCCUUCCCUCCUUUUCUCCCUCUCCCCAUCUCCCUCUCUCCCCCUCUCCUCUUCUCUCCUCUCUCUCUCCGCCAUGUGAGGACACAGCAAGAAGGCAUCCAUCCGCAAGCCAGAGAGAGAGACUUCACCAGAACCCAGCCAUGCUGGCAAAGCUGAUCUUGGAUUUCCAGGCUCCAAAACUGAGAGACUUGUGACGGGGUAAGGGCCAUGGACCUGGCUGAGGCCUGCCAGCCUCACUGUUCUCUCGCUGAGGUAAGUUACCUGCCUCACAAAACUUAGCCUGGAAUCUCU